UCACCCUGCUGUGUAGAGUGUCUGAGAC
rnacentral:piRNA from 1 species